AUGGGCCUGGGUAGAGAGAGAGAGACAGUUGGAGGCUUGCACUGGGUUUCAGUCACUUGCAGGCAGAACUGCAGAGGAACUGAGAGUGAGGAGUCUGGAGAGGAGGGAGAAGGAGCUGUAAGAGUCCAGCUGUGCAGAUUUGAUGGAGAAAUUCAGAGGCUGUGUUUAGAGUUGGAAAGUUUCUCAGAGGGCGUCUAUUCUGUUCCAUCUAUUCCAGCCCUCCCUCCUCAAGUGCGGCAACCUUUGAAUCAGCGUGGACCGAGUCCUGGGAACCGGGAAGGGGGCUGGAUGAGUUUGAUUCUGCUGACGUGGAAGCCACAGCCAUUCUGUUUUCCUCCUCUCAGGUUUUCUUCUCUGGCCUCACUGAACUGGCUUGUGUUGCCAGGGUGGGAGGUAAGAGUAGCGAGAGGGGGCAUCCUCACCUUGUGUGUGACUGUGCAGCAAAUGCCCUGGCGUUUUCCAGGUAAAUAUGAUGGAUGCCACCAGCGGCACAUUCCUUCUAGUAUCGGAGCCAGGGAUACAACUACUUUGCCCACUCCCCACAGGGCUCCAGUGUGUGAGGCCGUGACAGCUGUUUACUUGCCUACAUUCCACGGGCUAGAUUUGUUCAUAUACUGUCAGCUUGGAGCUGGAGCCCUUCGGAAACAAAAUUAAAAAAUUCCAGAAACCAUGCAGAAGUCGUUAAAUAAUCACUCCAUUGGUCUGCAUGUACACGGCGUGCAGGGACGAUCGAUCCUUCUGGCGGGAAGCACACAGCCACGGUAGUGCAGUGUGGUAAGUGUCCCACUGGUGAUGGGAAUGCAGUGCCAGGGGUGCCCCACUCGUGUCCCCUGUUGGCCAACAGACGGUUGUAGCUUUCCACCACUCCCAGAACAUGUGGAGUCCUCGCCCGCCAUAGUGAGGUACAGAGAGACACGCGGUGCACACGCCACUCUGGGCUCUGAUGUCCCGCCCUUCUCACCCAGUCCGAUAGGGCCUCCAGCCUGGACCUGGGGGAGGAGGAGCGUGUCUGCAGCGGUCUAGCCUUUGCCUCAAACCCCAUCACUAGUGAAGGCAAACCAGGGAAGACAGAGGAGGUCCAGGCUCCUCGCUGGUCAGGCAGGGUAACAAGAUCAUGGCCAGGAUGAAGUGAGAAAAUGUGUCAAAAGCUGGGGACGUGGAGCGGGUGCUGACCACAUGCUAGCUCUUGUCCUCCCCCAGGUCUGACAAGCAACCCCAGGAGCUCCCAGCAAAUGGCAGAAGGGGCCAUGUGGUGACCUUGGACGAUUCUAGUAACUCACGUUGCUUUCCUUGUGUCCAGGGGGCUUUUGCCUUUGGAGAUGUCCACACAAGGAAUUCCGUGUCUGUAGCUGUGAUCUCCUUGUUCUCUCCGAGUGCAGUGAGCAUACAGGUUUCCAGUGCUUCGCAUCUCUUUAUUGCCUUUGAGGAUUCAACUCUGCUGUGCAGGAAGACAUUCAAUGCACAGGGAACAAAUUGGUGAGUGAUUUCAUUCAUUCAUUCAUUCACUCCCCUGUUUGUUCUGUUUUUUCAUGUGUGUAUGUGGGAGGUCAACACCCAGGUGCUUUUUCGUGGCUGUGAGGGCCCAGGCGUUGCUGAGACAGGGCCUGGGAGGCAGGGCCGAGCUGCCUUCUGCUGCCUCAGGGGCGGGCCAGGG
ensembl:lncRNA